rnacentral:snoRNA from 10 species
UGGGAGUGGUAAUGAUGAUCUGCUUGGACAAGAGUCUCUGAGGUUUUCUCUGAGGAUCUUUGAACCCACCUGAUCCACCUUCA